GUCCACGCCCUAAACUAUGAUCACUCGAUGUGUGCGAUACACUGUACGCGUCUGAGCGAAAGCAUUAAGUGAUCCACCUGGGAAGUACGGCCGCAAGGCUGAAACUCAAAGGAAUUGACGGGGGCCCGCACAAGCGGAGGAGCAUGUGGUUUAAUUCGAUGAUACGCGAGGAACCUUACCUGGGCUUGAAAGUUAGUGAAUGCCGUAGAAACAUGGCAGCAAGCAAUUGCACGAAACUAGGUGCUGCAUGGCUGUCGU
rnacentral:rRNA from 1 species